rnacentral:rRNA from 1 species
UGAUUUGAAGAGCUUGCUCAAUAUGACGAUGGACAAAAGUAAAAGAGUGGCGAACGCGGUGAGUAACACGUGGGAAACUUAUCCUCUUAGCAGGGGAUAACAUUUGGAAACAGAUGCUAAUACCGUAUAACAAUAGCAACCGCAUGGUUGCUACUUAAAAGAUGGUUCUGCUAUCACUAACAGAUGGUCCCGCGGUGCAUUAAUUAAUUGGUGAGGUAAUGGCUCACCCGACGAUGAUGCAUAGCCGAGUUGAAGACUGAUCGGCCACACUGGGACUGAUACACGGCCCAUACUCCUACGGGAGGCAGCAAUACGGAAUCUUCCACAAUGGGCGAAAGCCUGAUGGAGCAACG